CCUACGGGUGGCAGCAGUGAGGAAUAUUGGUCAAUGGACGAGAGUCUGAACCAGCCAAGUAGCGUGAAGGAUGACUGCCCUAUGGGUUGUAAAUUUCUUUUAUAAAGGAAUAAAACGAGGCACGUGUGCCUUUUUGCAUGUACUUUAUGAAUAAGGAUCGGCUAACUCCGUGCCAGCAGCCGCGGUAAUACGGAGGAUCCGAGCGUUAUCCGGAUUUAUUGGGUGUAAAGGGAGCGUAGAUGGGUUGUUAAGUCAGUUGUGAAAGUUUGCGGCUCAACCGUAAAAUUGCAAUUGAUACUGGCAGGCUCGAGUGCAGGUGAGGUAGGCGGAAUUCGUGGUGUAGCGGUGGAAUGCUUAGAUAUCGCGAAGAACCCCGAUUGCGAAGGCAGCUUACUAAACUGUGACUGACAUUGAUGCUCGAAAGUGUGGGUAUCAAACAGGAUUAGAUACCCGAGUAGUC
rnacentral:rRNA from 1 species